rnacentral:rRNA from 1 species
GAUGAACGCUGGCGGCGUGCCUAAUACAUGCAAGUCGAGCGAACAGACGAGGAGCUUGCUCCUCUGACGUUAGCGGCGGACGGGUGAGUAACACGUGGAUAACCUACCUAUAAGACUGGGAUAACUUCGGGAAACCGGAGCUAAUACCGGAUAAUAUAUUGAACCGCAUGGUUCAAUAGUGAAAGACGGUUUUGCUGUCACUUAUAGAUGGAUCCGCGCCGCAUUAGCUAGUUGGUAAGGUAACGGCUUACCAAGGCGACGAUGCGUAGCCGACCUGAGAGGGUGAUCAGCCACACUGGAACUGAGACACGGUCCAGACUCCUACGGGAGGCAGCAGUGGGGAAUCUUGCGCAAUGGGCGAAAGCCUGACGGAGCAACACCGCGUGAGUGAUGAAGGUCUUCGGAUCGUAAAGCCCUGUUAUUAGGGAAGAACAAAUGUGUGAGUAACUAUGCACGUCUUGACGGUACCUAAUCAAAAAGCCCCGGCUAACUACGUG